GGAGAGAUGGCUCAGUGGUUAAGAGCACUGGCUGCUCUUUCUGAGGACCUGGGUUCAAUUCCUAGUACCUCCA
rnacentral:tRNA from 1 species